rnacentral:lncRNA from 1 species
CUUGCGACCCCGCUCCACCCUCCGUACCACGUGGGCCAGGCGCCCCGCAGCCUGAUCCCUCGGCUGAGGCGGGGUCAGAGGGCUAAGGGUGACUGACUGCCCAGUGCAUGGAUCUCAGCAGCACGGCUUGACUUUCGGGCGGCAGGCAAGGAUGCUAAUCCACAAGGUUCCUGAGUCCAACAUCCCUCCCUCCAAUGUGGGGCUCGAAUCCGCUAUUGCAACCAAACCCGGGUUCUGCCCGCAGGGUGGCGCAAUGACAAGAGCCACCAGGUGACCCUGGUAACUCCCGCACCUAGGUGUGUGCGGAGCCCAAGAUGUGUUGGGAACAGCUAUCGUUUCUACUGCUUUGUCCCAUGCCUCUGGAGCUCCUGGGUUCCUGAACUUCAAGCUGGGCCCCAUCCUUCACCCUAUCAGGGCCCUGGGUGGAGCUGACUUCCAACAGUAUACAGUGGGUCUUGGUACUUCCUCCUUGGCAUUCGACAGUUGGUGUUUUUGAAGUCAGAGCCAUCCUCAGUAGGCUCCUAGGGGAUCGUAAGCGGCUUUCUCUGGGUGGAAACCUACUCCAUGCAGCCUUCAGCAAAGGUACCAGCAUCUGUCACUGGGAUGGGGAAGUCCGGUGAUCGUGUCAGCAUGGGCUACGGUGGACGGGGAAAGGCUCGUUCUGACACUAGACACCUGGGUCUCUAGCCCUAUGCCUGGAUUUGUCUGGGGAACUCUGCACCACACUGAUCCUGGCUUUCCCCAUUACCUGCUCCAUGCCAGGAUCCUACGGCUGUUGAUCCCCUCGGAAGUGAGACAUAAUGUCCCGGAGCAGAUGCUGAUGGGGACUCACUGUUGGGCCACCUGAUUUCUGUGUUCAUCUUCCCAGGCUCCACCUUUCAGAUCCCAUCCCUGGUGUCUGCAGUUACAACUUUACUAACCAGAACUUUGUUUCCAGCUUACGCUGAAAAGCAAAGGGUGACUUAGAAUAAAAAUGUAACAAAUAGCCCCAUAGCCCAAACCUUUUCUGCCAUGAUUUACUGUACCAGAUACCUAUAAGUGUCCAGGGCAAAUUAAACACAUCAAUAAAUGGC